rnacentral:rRNA from 1 species
GACGAACGCUGGCGGCGUGCUUAACACAUGCAAGUCGAACGGAAAGGCCCUGCUUUUGUGGGGUGCUCGAGUGGCGAACGGGUGAGUAACACGUGAGUAACCUGCCCUUGACUUUGGGAUAACUUCAGGAAACUGGGGCUAAUACCGGAUAGGAGCUCCUGCUGCAUGGUGGGGGUUGGAAAGUUUCGGCGGUUGGGGAUGGACUCGCGGCUUAUCAGCUUGUUGGUGGGGUAGUGGCUUACCAAGGCUUUGACGGGUAGCCGGCCUGAGAGGGUGACCGGCCACAUUGGGACUGGGAUACGGCCCAGACUCCUACGGGAGGCAGCAGUGGGGAAUAUUGCACAAUGGGCGGAAGCCUGAUGAAGCAACGCCGCGUGCGGGAUGACGGCCUUCGGGUUGUAAACCGCUUUCGCAUGUGACGAAGCGUGAGUGACGGGAAUGGGUAAAGAAGCACCGGCUAACUACGG